rnacentral:rRNA from 1 species
AUUGAACGCUGGCGGCAGGCCUAACACAUGCAAGUCGAGCGAGCGGCGGACGGGUGAGUAAUGUAUGGGGACUGCCCGCUAGAGGGGGAUAACUACUGGAAACGGUAGCUAAUACCGCAUACUAUCGGAUAACCCAUAUGGGAUUAGCUAGUAGGUGAGGUAAUGGCCCACUGAGGCGACGAUCCCUAGCUGGUCUGAGAGGAUGAUCAGCCACACGGGGACUGAGACACGGCCCAGGAUCCUACGGGGGCAGAAGUGGGGAAUUUUGGACAAUGGGGGAAACCCUGAUCCAGCCAUCCAGCGUGUAUGAUGAAGGCCUUCGGGUUGUAAAGUACUUUUGGCAGUGAAGCGGUAUCUGCAGAAUAAGCACCGGCUAACUCCGUGCCAGCAGCCGCGGUAAUU